AUGUCCGGGGAAAUCCGGACGUAUGGUAACCCUAUGAAAAUUCAGUUGGUUAUUCAGAGGCUACGGUGGCCGUUUGGGACACUUAGGGACAGCAACUAGGGGGUCAAAAUUUAACUCUAAGGUAUUUCAUUGCCCCCCCAAACUGCAAGCUCUGGGCAUGUGUGAAAUUUCCCCCACCUGCGCAGCCCCGUUGGCCUAACUGGAGCUGACCCCCCAAAUAUAGAAAUCAAAUUAUGCCGAUGCAUUUGUAACCCAUAAACCUCCUUGGUGUGGUGUUCUGGCCCAUCUAGUGGCACCGAGACCACUUAGAGAGAGAAAUAAAUGAGUCUGCUACAGCCUUAGCUAAGAGCCAGUUAGCUUUUGGCUCAUGCAUUAAGCUCCAGAAGUCCCAGGUUCGAUCCCGCCCACUGACAACCGGGGUCUGUCAGCGUUACACAUGUGUUUCAGGAAAAGCCUCAAUUAUCAGCCACAUUUUACAGAUGGGGAACUGAAGCAAAGCAGGAAGUCAGAGGCACAGCGAGGAACUGAACAUAAGUUUCCCCAGUCUCAGGUAGUGGUCCUUUCCCUGUGUGAUGGGUGGGAGUCUGAGUGCUCCCUAGCCAGAGAAUUCCAGAAGAACCUACAGCUGUGGGAUGUUGGUUCUGAUGAGCACCCAGAUAAAAGGAAUAACUGAGAGCCACUCCUUCCCCAAGGCACUCCUAGCAUGCCUGAGGUGAGGACAAAGAGACACAGCAGUGCCUGGAAGAAGCAGCGGACAGAGAAGCAGUUUGGCUGGAAAUUUUGGGCACAGCCUUGAAGUGAAGUGCUCAGAUACUUUGAUGAUAACAUGGGUUGCUCACCUAGAUACCCUCCUGCAUCAAUGCAUUUUUCAGCGUGGCCUCCCUUGAACUUCAACGUUACCCUCUUUUGUCUCUGUAUUGUACUCGUUCCAACUUUGUUUCUGUGCCUCUAAAUAAUUCAAGCUUGUGUUGUCGAGAGCCGAACAUUGUGAGCCGUUAAACAAAACUACAGCCUCCAAAGCGCCGAUCAGCGUGGAGAAGCGAAGUCAGCAGGGAGAUCUGCAGCAAGGAAGCAUGGCAGGCAACCCAAGUCCUCACCAAGGUCAAGCUCAGCGUAUUGAUUUUGUUUGACACUGAUAUUGUGGAAGGCCUCGGAGCUUUUUAAAAGAUGGGCUUUGUAUUUGGUUUGAGAGGCUUAUUGAUAAAAAUAUAUCACUUUGAUUUGGCAAAGUGUUUUAAAAAUAUUUGUAUGGGCAUCUGUACACACACACACACAAAACACACCGGCAUGUGAUAAGUUGCCUUUAUCAUCCCUCUCACCUGCUAAACCACCUCCUCCAGGAUUUCUAAUUAUUACAAUAACAUUAUUUAUUAAUUUAUAACAACAAAUAAUUAUUACAAGUACAUCAUAAUAGUGCCUUUUUGUGCCGGGUGCUGUACGAACACAUAAAGCAAAUGUGAACAGUAAAUAGUGACUAUUUCUAACAUUUCAAA